ensembl:misc_RNA Y_RNA Y RNA
GGCUGAUCUGAGUACAGUGGUGUUUACAACUAAUUGAUCACAACCAGUUACGGAAGAAACAUUUCUUUGUUUCUUCUUUACUCCCACUGCUUCACUUGACUAACCUUAA